CCUACGGGAGGCAGCAGUGAGGAAUAUUGGUCAAUGGGCGCGAGCCUGAACCAGCCAAGUAGCGUGAAGGAUGACUGCCCUACGGGGUGUAAACUUCUUUUAUAAAGGAAUAAAGUGAGGCAAGUGUGCCUUUUUGUAUGUACUUUAUGAAUAAGGAUCGGCUAACUCCGUGCCAGCAGCCGCGGUAAUACGGAGGAUCCGAGCGUUCUCCGGCUUUAUUGGGUUUAAAGGGAGCGUAGAUGGGUUGUUAAGGCAGUUGUGAAUGUUGGCGGCUCAACCGUAAAAUUGCAAUUGAUACUGGCAGCCUUGCGUACAGUUGAGGUAGGCGGCAUUCGUGGUGUAGCCGUUCACUGCUUAGCUCUCAC
rnacentral:rRNA from 1 species